GAUUGGGAACUUUAAGUUCUGGAAAAUAAAAGAUUGUUUGGAUCCAAACUCAUAUAAAAAAGGAAAAAAAUGGGGGUGCUCACUAAAACUUCUCACUUUAAGAGAUUUGUAGCAAAGUCAUUCAAGGAGAUAGACUUCCUGCUUAAGCCUAUGUACUCAGACUUCAGCAAGAGUUUCUGCUAAAUGGAGAGAGAAGCAGGACGGCAAGAAAUAAACAUUUUUUCGACCUCAUGGAAACGUGAAGAGUCUAGGAUCAACAUGACUGCUCCACAGUAAUCAGAACCAUAGGUUCCUCCCAUCUCCUCACCCCA
rnacentral:lncRNA from 1 species